rnacentral:rRNA from 1 species
AGCUACAGGCUUAACACAUGCAAGUCGAGGGGCAGCAUCAUCAAAGCUUGCUUUGAUGGAUGGCGACCGGCGCACGGGUGAGUAACACGUAUCCAACCUGCCGGCAACACUGGGAUAGCCUUUCGAAAGAAAGAUUAAUACCGGAUGGCAUAGUUUUCCCGCAUGGGAUAAUUAUUAAAGAAUUUCGGUUGUCGAUGGGGAUGCGUUCCAUUAGGCAGUUGGCGGGGUAACGGCCCACCAAACCAACGAUGGAUAGGGGUUCUGAGAGGAAGGUCCCCCACAUUGGAACUGAGACACGGUCCAAACUCCUACGGGAGGCAGCAGUGAGGAAUAUUGGUCAAUGGACGAGAGUCUGAACCAGCCAAGUAGCGUGAAGGAUGACUGCCCUAUGGGUUGUAAACUUCUUUUAUACGGGAAUAAAGUGAGCCACGUGUGGCUUUUUGUAUGUACCGUAUGAAUAAGGAUCGGCUAACUCCGUGCCAGCAGCCGCGGUAAUACGGAGGAUCCGAGCGUUAUCCGGAUUUAUUGGGUUUAAAGGGAGCGUAGGCGGGUUGUUAAGUCAGUUGUGAAAGUUUGCGGCUCAACCGUAAAAUUGCAGUUGAUACUGGCGACCUUGAGUGCAACAGAGGUAGGCGGAAUUCGUGGUGUAGCGGUGAAAUGCUUAGAUAUCACGAAGAACUCCGAUUGCGAAGGCAGCUUACUGGAUUGUAACUGACGCUGAUGCUCGAAAGUGUGGGUAUCAAACAGGAUUAGAUACCCUGGUAGUCCACACAGUAAACGAUGAAUACUCGCUGUUGGCGAUAUACGGUCAGCGGCCAAGCGAAAGCAUUAAGUAUUCCACCUGGGGAGUACGCCGGCAACGGUGAAACUCAAAGGAAUUGACGGGGGCCCGCACAAGCGGAGGAACAUGUGGUUUAAUUCGAUGAUACGCGAGGAACCUUACCCGGGCUUAAAUUGCAACUGACGGAACCGGAAACGGUUCUUUCUUCGGACAGUUGUGAAGGUGCUGCAUGGUUGUCGUCAGCUCGUGCCGUGAGGUGUCGGCUUAAGUGCCAUAACGAGCGCAACCCUUACGGGUAGUUACCAUCAGGUUAUGCUGGGGACUCUACCCGGACUGCCGUCGUAAGAUGUGAGGAAGGUGGGGAUGACGUCAAAUCAGCACGGCCCUUACGUCCGGGGCUACACACGUGUUACAAUGGGGGGUACAGAAGGCAGCUACACGGCGACGUGGUGCUAAUCCCAAAAACCUCUCUCAGUUCGGACUGGAGUCUGCAACCCGACUCCACGAAGCUGGAUUCGCUAGUAAUCGCGCAUCAGCCACGGCGCGGUGAAUACGUUCCCGGGCCUUGUACACACCGCCCGUCAAGCCAUGGGAGCCGGGGGUACCUGAAGUGCGUAACCGCGAGGAGCGCCCUAGGGUAAAACUGGUGACUGGGGCUAAG